AUUGAACGCUGGCGGAAUGCUUUACACAUGCAAGUCGAACGGCAGCACGGACUUCGGUCUGGUGGCGAGUGGCGAACGGGUGAGUAAUGUAUCGGAACGUGCCCAGUCGUGGGGGAUAACGUAGUGGAAAUUACGCUAAUACCGCAUACGAUCUAUGGAUGAAAGCGGGGGAUCGCAAGACCUCGCGCGAUUGGAGCGGCCGAUAUCAGAUUAGGUAGUUGGUGGGGUAAAGGCCCACCAAGCCAACGAUCUGUAGCUGGUCUGAGAGGACGACCAGCCACACUGGAACUGAGACACGGUCCAGACUCCUACGGGAGGCAGCAGUGGGGAAUUUUGGACAAUGGGCGAAAGCCUGAUCUAGCCAUUCCGCGUGCAGGAUGAAGGCCCUCGGGUUGUAAACUGCUUUUGUACAGAACGAAAAGGUUUCUACUAAUACUAGGAGCUCAUGACGGUACUGUAAGAAUAAGCACCGGCUAACUACGUGCCAGCAGCCGCCGUAA
rnacentral:rRNA from 1 species